GCGGGUGUAGCUCAGGGGUAGAGCACAACCUUGCCAAGGUUGGGGUCGAGGGUUCGAAUCCCUUCGCCCGCUCCA
rnacentral:tRNA from 1059 species